CCUACGGGAGACAGCAGUGAGGAAUAUUUGUCAAUGGCCGUAAGGCUGAACCAGCCAAGUCGCGUGAAGGAAGAAGGAUCUAUGGUUUGUAAACUUCUUUUAUAGGGGAAUAAAGGUAUCCACGUGUGGCUAUUUGCAUGUACCCUAUGAAUAAGCAUCGGCUAACUCCGUGCCAGCAGCCGCGGUAAUACGGAGGAUGAGAGCGUUAUCCGGAUUUAUUGGGUUUAACGGGUGCGUAGGUUGUUUUUUAAGUCAGCGGUGAAAGUUUGUGGCUCAACCAUAACAUUGCCGUUGAAACUGGAAGACUUGAGUGUGUUUGAGGUAGGCGGAAUGCGUGGUGUAGCGGUGAAAUGCAUAGAUAUCACGCAGAACUCCGAUUGCGAAGGCAGCUUACUAAGCCAUAACUGACACUGAAGCACGAAAGCGUGGGGAUCAAACAGGAUUAGAUACCCUGGUAGUC
rnacentral:rRNA from 1 species